rnacentral:rRNA from 1 species
UGGGGAAUAUUGCACAAUGGAGGGAACUCUGAUGCAGCGACGCCGCGUGAACGAAGAAGGCUUUCGAGUCGUAAAGUUCUUUUAUAUGGGAAGAUAAUGACGGUACCAUAAGAAAAAGCCCCGGCUAACUACGUGCCAGCAGCCGCGGUAAUACGUAGGGGGCUAGCGUUUUCCGGAAUCACUGGGCGUAAAGGGUUCGCAGGCGGAAAUGCAAGUCAGGUGUAAAAGGGAGUAGCUUAACUACUGUAAGCAUUUGAAACUGCAUAUCUUGAGAAGAGUAGAGGUAAGUGGAAUUUUUAGUGUAGCGGUGAAAUGCGUAGAUAUUAAAAAGAAUACCGGUGGCGAAGGCGACUUACUGGGCUCAUUCUGACGCUGAGGAACGAAAGCGUGGGUAGCAAACAGG